rnacentral:lncRNA from 1 species
UUUCUCCAUCGCAUCACCUAUGUCCUUGAACUUGGAAACUGAUUUAGUUUUCUGUAUUUUUGCCUCUUUUAAGCAUGGGUCUCUUUUGCCCUAGGCUUUCUUAUCCUUGGCUACUUUGAGUAAUGAUUCCAUCUAUUCAGGGGCCAGGACUUGGAUCCCAUCCUAACGUUAGUCUGAGAGGUCAGCAGAGCUAACAGCAGAGCAGACACCAUCUGGGUUUCCAGCUGCCAACACUGGUCAUGGGUGGGGUGCAGGACCGGGCUCAAACAGUGUGGACGUCACUCAGGAAAACUGCCUACUGACAUCUUCGUCGGCACCUAGGGUAUUGUUCACGAUGAAAAUGUUUUUCAUCCCGGUCGUCAUUUGCUGGGUGCUCUGGAGAUCAUCAGUGUCCUCUGCAGGUAGUUCCCAGCCAGGACGUGGCGUGGUAAAGGGCUGCAGGAGUGGACCCCCAGGCCCCUGA